CACGUAGGGGGGCAAGCGUUGUCCGGAUUUAUUGGGCGUAAAGAGCUCGUAGGCGGUUCGGUAAGUUGGGUGUGAAACCUCCAGGCUCAACCUGGAGACGCCACCCGAUACUGCUGUGACUAGAGUCCGGUGGGGGAGCGUGGAAUUCCUGGUGUAGCGGUGAAAUGCGCAGAUAUCAGGAGGAACACCAGCGGCGAAGGCGGCGCUCUGGGCCGGAACUGACGCUGAGGAGCGAAAGCGUGGGUAGCAAACAGG
rnacentral:rRNA from 1 species